GGCCGUGCUCCGAGCUCAACGAUCCUGCGGCUGGUUGAAGUUACUCAGUAUCUCCCGAAAUAUCUUCUGUGCAUUUAAGAUCACCAACAUUUAAGGAGAAGGUAGAGGAGCAGGAGCUAUGAAAGAGGAUCGGGAAGUACGGGUCUCCACGGAAGGGGCUGGUAGGCGAAAUGCUGCACCUCUCAGGCUCCCUUCCUGUUAGGGUUCUGGAUCUGAUUUAGAGUUUACUGAUGAAAGAAACUCACAUAAACUUUAUGGGACAGAAGGGAGGCAGAGACCAUCUUACUGCUGUGAUGGCUGGCAGCGAGUCAAGUCGGUUUGUUUACUGUGGCCAAGCUCCAUUGCCAGUGUGUUGUUACCAUCUUCAUGGAUGGCGAGGCAGCAGCAACAGGGGUUUUCUUCUCCCCGGUUCCUAUCCAGGGCAGAGCAGCCUUGGAGCUGGUGGUCUGGUGGUGGCUUUAGGCUUUGCUCUGUACCAUCAUUUAUAGGUACCUAGUGUCUGUAUUAUACCCCUUUGAAUACCUAGAAAGAUUUUGGUUCCCUGAACUGAAUCUUAAACUAUACUACUUUAUAGUGUUCAUUUUUUUGUAUAGUAAGAUUUA